rnacentral:rRNA from 1 species
UGGGGAAUUUUGCACAAUGGGGGAAACCCUGAUGCAGCGACGCCGCGUGAUUUAGAAGGCCUUCGGGUUGUACAAAUCUUUUCUUUGGGAAGAAAAUGACAGUACCAUAGGAAUAAGGACCGGCUAAUUACGUGCCAGCAGCCGCGGUAAUACGUAAGGUCCGAGCGUUGUCCGGAAUCAUUGGGCGUAAAGGGUACGUAGGCGGGUAAGCAAGUUAGAAGUGAAAUCCUAUAGGGCAACUAUAGUAAGCUUUUAAAACUGCUCAUGUUGAAGUAUGGAAGGGAAAGUGGAAUUAAGAGUGUAGUGGUGAAAUGCGCAGAUAUUAGGAGAAAGAGCGGAGGAGGAGGCGACUUUCUAGACAUAACCUGACGAUGAGGUACGAAAGCGUGGGUAGCAAACAGG